rnacentral:rRNA from 1 species
AAUUUGGAUUAAUGCCCCAUAGUAUAAUUGAAUGGCAUCAUUUAAUUAUUAAAGUCACAACGGUAAAAGAUGAGCAUGCGUCCCAUUAGUUAGUUGGUAAGGUAACGGCUUACCAAGACAAUGAUGGGUAGGGGUCCUGAGAGGGAGAUCCCCCACACUGGUACUGAGACACGGACCAGACUCCUACGGGAGGCAGCAGUGAGGAAUAUUGGACAAUGGGCGCAAGCCUGAUCCAGCCAUGCCGCGUGCAGGAAGACGGUCCUAUGGAUUGUAAACUGCUUUUAUACAGGAAGAAACACUCCGACGUGUCGGAGCUUGACGGUACUGUAGGAAUAAGGAUCGGCUAACUCCGUGCCAGCAGCCGCGGUAAUACGGAGGAUCCAAGCGUUAUCCGGAAUCAUUAGGUUUAAAGGGUCCGUAGGCGGUUUAAUAAGUCAGUGGUGAAAUCUGGUCGCUCAACGAUCAAACGGCCAUUGAUACUGUUAGACUUGAAUUAUAAGGAAGUAACUAGAAUAUGUAGUGUAGCGGUGAAAUGCUUAGAUAUUACAUGGAAUACCAAUUGCGAAGGCAGGUUACUACUUAUGGAUUGACGCUGAUGGACGAAAGCGUGGGGAGCGAACAGGAUUAGAUACCCUGGUAGUCCACGCCGUAAACGAUGGAUACUAGCUGUUGGAAGCAAUUUCAGUGGCUAAGCGAAAGUGAUAAGUAUCCCACCUGGGGAGUACGUUC